AGUCGAGCGAGCGGAACUAACAGAUUUACUUCGGUAAUGACGUUAGGAAAGCGAGCGGCGGAUGGGUGAGUAACACGUGGGGAACCUGCCCCAUAGUCUGGGAUACCACUUGGAAACAGGUGCUAAUACCGGAUAAGAAAGCAGAUCGCAUGAUCAGCUUUUAAAAGGCGGCGUAAGCUGUCGCUAUGGGAUGGCCCCGCGGUGCAUUAGCUAGUUGGUAAGGUAAAGGCUUACCAAGGCGAUGAUGCAUAGCCGAGUUGAGAGACUGAUCGGCCACAUUGGGACUGAGACACGGCCCAAACUCCUACGGGAGGCAGCAGUAGGGAAUCUUCCACAAUGGACGCAAGUCUGAUGGAGCAACGCCGCGUGAGUGAAGAAGGUUUUCGGAUCGUAAAGCUCUGUUGUUGGUGAAGAAGGAUAGAGGUAGUAACUGGCCUUUAUUUGACGGUAAUCAACCAGAAAGUCACGGCUAACUACGUGCCAGCAGCCGCGGUAAUACGUAGGUGGCAAGCGUUGUCCGGAUUUAUUGGGCGUAAAGCGAGCGCAGGCGGAAGAAUAAGUCUGAUGUGAAAGCCCUCGGCUUAACCGAGGAACUGCAUCGGAAACUGUUUUUCUUGAGUGCAGAAGAGGAGAGUGGAACUCCAUGUGUAGCGGUGGAAUGCGUAGAUAUAUGGAAGAACACCAGUGGCGAAGGCGGCUCUCUGGUCUGCAACUGACGCUGAGGCUCGAAAGCAUGGGUAGUGAACAGGAUUAGAUACCCUGGUAGUCCAUGCCGUAAACGAUGAGUGCUAAGUGUUGGGAGGUUUCCGCCUCUCAGUGCUGC
rnacentral:rRNA from 1 species